AUUUCUUCUAAAGCUAAAUACUGGCCAGAGACCGAUAGCGAACAAGUAGAGUGAUCGAAAGAUGAAAAGCACUUUGGAAAGAGAGUUAAAAAGCACGUGAAAUUGUUGAAAGGGAAGCGCUUGCAGCCAGACUUGCCUGUAGUUGCUCAUCCGGGUUUCUACCCGGUGCACUCUUCUACGGGCAGGCCAGCAUCAGUUUGGGCGGUUGGAUAAAGGUCUCUGUCAUGUACCUCCUCUCGGGGAGAUCUUAUAGGGGAGACGACAUGCAACCAGCCUGGACUGAGGUCCGCGCAUCUGCUAGGAUGCUGGCGUAAUGGCUGUAAGCGGCCCGUCUUGAAAACACGGACCCA
rnacentral:rRNA from 1 species